AUACGGGGGGUGCAAGCGUUAAUCGGAAUUACUGGGCGUAAAGCGCGCGUAGGCGGUUUGCUCAGUCGGAUGUGAAAGCCCAGGGCUCAACCUUGGAACUGCAUACGAUACUGGCAAACUAGAGUGUGAGAGAGGAUAGUGGAAUUUCCGGUGUAGCGGUGAAAUGCGUAGACAUCGGAAGGAACAUCAGUGGCGAAGGCGACUGUCUGGCUCAACACUGACGCUGAGGUGCGAAAGCGUGGGUAGCAAACAGGAUUAGAAACCCUAGUAGUCC
rnacentral:rRNA from 1 species